rnacentral:rRNA from 1 species
GCCGCGGUAUCUUGACCGUGCAAAGGUAGCAUAAUCAUUAGUUUUUUAAUUGGAAACUAGAAUGAAUGGUUGAACAAGGAAAAGACUGUCUCUUUUGUUAAAAUUGAAUUUAACUUCCAAGUGAAAAGGCUUGGAUUUGCUAGGGGGACGAUAAGACCCUAUAAAGCUUUAUAAGUCUAAAAAUUUUCAAAAAUUUUAUAUAUAAAUUUACUUUUGAUAGCUUAUUUUGUUGGGGCGACAAAGGUAUAAGUCAAAAUAACUGCCAUUCAUCUAGAUACAUCUAUUGUUGUAUUGAAGUUAUAAAUGAUCCUUAUUAAAGAUUAAAAGAUCAAGCUACUUUAGGGAUAACAGCGUAAUUUCUCCUGAGAGUCCUUAUCAAAGAAGAAGUUUGCGACCUCGAUGUUGAAUUAAAAUGUCUCCGUAGUGCAGCAGCUAUGAAAGAAGGUCUGUUCGACCUUUAAUAUUUUACAUGAUUUGAGUUCAGACCGGCGUGAGC